rnacentral:rRNA from 1 species
AUUGAACGCUGGCGGCAUGCCUUACACAUGCAAGUCGAACGGCAGCACGGGAGCAAUCCUGGUGGCGAGUGGCGAACGGGUGAGUAAUAUAUCGGAACGUGCCCGGUCGUGGGGGAUAACGUAGCGAAAGCUACGCUAAUACCGCAUACGAUCUACGGAUGAAAGCGGGGGAUCGCAAGACCUCGCGCGAUUGGAGCGGCCGAUAUCAGAUUAGGUAGUUGGUGAGGUAAAGGCUCACCAAGCCGACGAUCUGUAGCUGGUCUGAGAGGACGACCAGCCACACUGGGACUGAGACACGGCCCAGACUCCUACGGGAGGCAGCAGUGGGGAAUUUUGGACAAUGGGCGCAAGCCUGAUCCAGCAAUGCCGCGUGCAGGAUGAAGGCCUUCGGUUGGUUAAACGUAGUC